UUCCCGACUGCUCUCCGACACCCAAUUU
rnacentral:piRNA from 1 species